UUAUUGACUAAGGAAACAGUUAACAAAGCAACUAUUGUCAAUUGAAUAUUACCUGAAACUCAUGUCGACAGCCUCGCCCAAAGAUUGCUGUUUCAUCAAGAGCUCUGUAGCGAUUCAUUGAUCGAACAGCAUUCCCAGCAAGAAAACCAUGACACUCCUAUAAGUAUCAAUAUGUAACAAACAAAAAAGUAUACAAGAGCUUUAUUUCCUAAAGCCCAUGGCACAAAUUUAUUGAAAAUAAAAACUAUGUGGUAGAGAAUGUAAAAAAAUCAAAUAUAUUCAAAGCACUGUAA